rnacentral:tRNA from 1 species
GAGGUUCUAGCUCAGUGGUAGAGUGUGUGUUUAGCAUGCACGAGAUACUGGGUUCAAUCCCCAGGACCUCCA